rnacentral:tRNA from 1 species
CGGGGUGUGGCGCAGUUGGGAGCGCGGGUAGUUUGGGACCAUCAGGCCGCAGGUUUGAUCCCUGUCACUCGGACCA